GAUGAACGCCGGCGGUGUGCCUAAUACAUGCAAGUCGAACGCGUUGGCCCAAUUGAUUGAUGGUGCUUGCACCUGAUUGAUUUUGGUCGCCAACGAGUGGCGGACGGGUGAGUAACACGUAGGUAACCUGCCCAGAAGCGGGGGACAACAUUUGGAAACAGAUGCUAAUACCGCAUAACAACGUUGUUCGCAUGAACAACGCUUAAAAGAUGGCUUCUCGCUAUCACUUCUGGAUGGACCUGCGGUGCAUUAGCUUGUUGGUGGGGUAAUGGCCUACCAAGGCGAUGAUGCAUAGCCGAGUUGAGAGACUGAUCGGCCACAAUGGGACUGAGACACGGCCCAUACUCCUACGGGAGGCAGCAGUAGGGAAUCUUCCACAAUGGGCGCAAGCCUGAUGGAGCAACACCGCGUGAGUGAAGAAGGGUUUCGGCUCGUAAAGCUCUGUUGUUAAAGAAGAACACGUAUGAGAGUAACUGUUCAUACGUUGACGGUAUUUAACCAGAAAGUCACGGCUAACUACGUGCCAGCAGCCGCGGUAAUACGUAGGUGGCAAGCGUUAUCCGGAUUUAUUGGGCGUAAAGAGAGUGCAGGCGGUUUUCUAAGUCUGAUGUGAAAGCCUUCGGCUUAACCGGAGAAGUGCAUCGGAAACUGGAUAACUUGAGUGCAGAAGAGGGUAGUGGAACUCCAUGUGUAGCGGUGGAAUGCGUAGAUAUAUGGAAGAACACCAGUGGCGAAGGCGGCUACCUGGUCUGCAACUGACGCUGAGACUCGAAAGCAUGGGUAGCGAACAGGAUUAGAUACCCUGGUAGUCCAUGCCGUAAACGAUGAGUGCUAGGUGUUGGAGGGUUUCCGCCCUUCAGUGCCGGAGCUAACGCAUUAAGCACUCCGCCUGGGGAGUACGACCGCAAGGUUGAAACUCAAAGGAAUUGACGGGGGCCCGCACAAGCGGUGGAGCAUGUGGUUUAAUUCGAAGCUACGCGAAGAACCUUACCAGGUCUUGACAUCUUGCGCCAACCCUAGAGAUAGGGCGUUUCCUUCGGGAACGCAAUGACAGGUGGUGCAUGGUCGUCGUCAGCUCGUGUCGUGAGAUGUUGGGUUAAGUCCCGCAACGAGCGCAAC
rnacentral:rRNA from 1 species